CAAUAGCGUAUAUUAAUGUUGUUGCAGUUAAAAAGCUCGUAGUUGGAUUUCUGGUGGGAGCGGUUGGUCUGCCCCGCGAGGGGUAGUAACUGAGCCGUAUCCGGCCCUUUUCGGGUUGAUCGUGGUUGGCAUUAAUUUGUCGGUGCGGGAGGCCCGUCGUUUACUGUGAACAAAUUAGAGUGUUCAAAGCAAAGUGUUUUUGAAUAUAUCAGCAUGGAAUAAUGAGAUAGGACUUUGGUGGUUCGUGCUCUCGGGUACGAUAUUUUGUUGGUUUGCACGCCAAAGUAAUGAUUAAUAGGAGCAGUUGGGGGUAUUCGUAUUCAAUUGUCAGAGGUGAAAUUCUUGGAUUUCUAGAAGACGAACUACUGCGAAAGCAUUUACCAAGGAUGUUUUCAUUAA
rnacentral:rRNA from 1 species